GGAUGCGAUCAUACCAGCACUAAAGCACCGGAUCCCAUCAGAACUCUGAAGUUAAGCGUGCUUGGGCGAGAGUAGUACUAGGAUUGGUGACCUCCUGGGAAGUCCUCGUGUUGCAUUCC
rnacentral:rRNA from 1 species